UACGUUUAUGAUCUGGAGA
rnacentral:misc_RNA from 1 species